rnacentral:tRNA from 1 species
GCGGGUGUAGCUCAGUUGGUUAGAGCGCCACGCUCAUAACAAUACAGGUGAGCGAUGAGGCGUAUGCCGAUGAUCAGCUUUACUUGCUGAGUCACGUGGAGGUCACGAUUUCAAAUAUCGUCACCCGCA